rnacentral:rRNA from 1 species
CAGGUGGUGCAUGGUUGUCGUCAGCUCGUGUCGUGAGAUGUUGGGUUAAGUCCCGCAACGAGCGCAACCCUUAAGCUUAGUUGCCAUCAUUAAGUUGGGCACUCUAAGUUGACUGCCGGUGACAAACCGGAGGAAGGUGGGGAUGACGUCAAAUCAUCAUGCCCCUUAUGAUUUGGGCUACACACGUGCUACAAUGGACAAUACAAAGGGCAGCGAAACCGCGAGGUCAAGCAAAUCCCAUAAAGUUGUUCUCAGUUCGGAUUGUAGUCUGCAACUCGACUACAUGAAGCUGGAAUCGCUAGUAAUCGUAGAUCAG